rnacentral:rRNA from 1 species
CCUUAGAUGUUCUGGGCCGCACGCGCGCUACACUGACAGAGCCAGCGAGUUUCUCACCUUGGCCGGAAGGUCUGGGUAAUCUUGUGAAACUCUGUCGUGCUGGGGAUAGAGCAUUGCAAUUAUUGCUCUUCAACGAGGAAUUCCUAGUAAGCGUGAGUCAUCAGCUCGCGUUGAUUACGUCCCUGCCCUUUGUACACACCGCCCGUCGCUACUACCGAUUGAAUGGCUUAGUGAGGUCUUCGGAUUGGCUUCGGAGGGCCGGAAACGGCCCACUGUUGCUGAGAAGUUGAUCAAACUUGGUCAUUUAGAGGAAGUAAAAGUCGUAACAAGGUU